CUUUCUCCGCCGGCGACCGGCGCACGGGUGAGUAACACGUAUGCAACCUGCCCCUGUCAGGGGGACAACCCGCCGAAAGGCGGGCUAAACCCGCGUACAUGCCACCGGGGCAUCCCGGAGGCAGGAAAGGCUUCGGCCGGACAGGGAUGGGCAUGCGGCGCAUUAGGCAGUAGGCGGGGUAACGGCCACCUAACCGACGAUGCGUAGGGGUUCUGAGAGGAAGGUCCCCCACACUGGUACUGAGACACGGACCAGACUCCUACGGGAGGCAGCAG
rnacentral:rRNA from 1 species